CUAACAUGGUGCCAGAAAGUAGCAUAAGGUUUGCAACCGAUCCACUGUGGCAAGACUAGUGUGCACAUGCUCACAGAGCCAGGCAUAGCCAAGACAAGCAUUUGCCUUCCUGUUCAGUUUUCUCCCACAAACCAAUCUAAAUAUUCAGGCUGGGGUGAUACACAAGAGACACAAGUAUUUUUCAGAAUGUCUUAUAUCCUUUCCUGUAAGACUAUUUGGACCUUAAAGAAGGGAGGUGGAUGGUGUGGUGAAAGUCAAUGACUACUGUCAAAAACUUAAAUAGUAGGAAGUCCUAUUGGUAUAGCCAAACUACUACCCACCUCAGCCAUUCAUCAUUCAUUAGAGUCAUUCUUCGGCCCUUGUUACAUCAAGUCCUGUGCUAACUGCAUACCAGGGAUAGAAAGGAGAGCUCGCUCAUGAAGAGCUGAGCCAGUGGUGGGGAAAAGAUGAUAUCAGACCCUCAUACCCAGGACGAGUGCUCUGAGGAGAGUGUUCUGAGGCUUCAUGUGGCCUGUACUCUGCAGACCUAGAAAAGGGGUUUGGUCCGUUUGGGGUUGGAGGAGGAGUUCCAGGAAGGAUGCCUUGUUGGCGUAAUGACUGAACCGAGAUUUAAGGAUGAGCAGGAAUCAAAUAGAGAAAACAAAGAAGGAAAAGUGUUCUGGGUGAAGAAGUAGGAUGGACCCGAAUGCAUGGGGCCUGCUAGGCUUAGCAGGGGAUUUUGCUCUUCAGCCUGUGGGCAUGGGAAACUCUUGAGGGUUUUGUAAGCCUGAGUGUAGAGGUGGU
rnacentral:lncRNA from 1 species